GAUGAACGCUGGCGGCGUGCCUUAGGCAUGCAAGUCGAACGGCUCUUCGGAGCAGUGGCGGAAGGGUGAGUAACGCGUGGGAACGUACCAUUUUGGUGGGGGAUAGCUCUCCGAAAGGAGGGGUAAUCCCGCAUAAGCCCGUAAGGGGAAAGAUUUAUCGCCGAAUGAGCGGCCCGCGUCCUAUCAGCUUGUUGGUGAGGUAAUGGCUCACCAAGGCGAUGACGGGUAGCUGGGCNGAGAGGUCGGCCAGCCACAAGGGAACUGAGACACGGUCCCUACAUCUACGGAUGGCAGCAACCGGGAAUCUUGGACAAUGGGGGAAACCCUGAUCCAGCGACGCCGC
rnacentral:rRNA from 1 species